UACGUAGGGGGCAAGCGUUGUCCGGAAUCAUUGGGCGUAAAGCGCGUGUAGGCGGCUCGGUAAGUCUGCUGUGAAAGUCCAGGGCUCAACCCUGGGAUGCCGGUAGAUACUGUCGAGCUCGAGUCCGGAAGAGGCGAGUGGAAUUCCUGGUGUAGCGGUGAAAUGCGCAGAUAUCAGGAGGAACACCAAUGGCGAAGGCAGCUCGCUGGGACGUGACUGACGCUGAGACGCGAAAGCGUGGGGAGCAAACAGG
rnacentral:rRNA from 1 species